rnacentral:rRNA from 1 species
CUCCCAUUGAUCCUGCCGGACCCGACUGCUAUCAGAGUGGGACUAAGCCAUGCGAGUCAACGUAGCAAUACGUGGCAUACGGCUCAGUAACACGUAGUCAACAUGCCCAGGGGACGAGGAUAACCUCGGGAAACUGAGGAUAAACCUCGAUAGGCCAUGAUUUCUGGAAUGAUUCUUGGCUCAAACCUAUAUGGCCCCUGGAUUGGACUGCGGCCGAUCAGGCUGUUGGUGAGGUAAUGGCCCACCAAACCUAUUACCGGUACGGGCUCUGAGAGGAGGAGCCCGGAGAUGGGCACUGAGACAAGGGCCCAGGCCCUAUGGGGCGCAGCAGGCGCGAAACCUCUGCAAUAGGCGAAAGCUUGACAGGGUUACUCUGAGUGAUUUCCGCUAAGGGAAUCUUUUGGCACCUCUAAAAAUGGUGCAGAAUAAGGGGUGGGCAAGUCUGGUGUCAGCCGCCGCGGUAAUACCAGCACCCCGAGUGGUCGGGACGAUUAUUGGGCCUAAAGCAUCCGUAGCCGGUCCUGCAAGUCUUCCGUUAAAUCCAGCUGCUCAACAGAUGGGCUGCGGGAGAUACUACAGGGCUAGGAGGCGGGAGAGGCAAGCGGUACUUUAUGGGUAGGGGUAAAAUCCGCUGAUCCAUAGAAGACCACCAGUGGCGAAGGCGGCUUGCCAGAACGCGCUCGACGGUGAGGGAUGAAAGCUGGGGGAGCAAACCGGAUUAGAUACCCGGGUAGUCCCAGCUGUAAACGAUGCAGACUCGGUGAUGGGUUGGCCUCGCGCCUGCCCAGUGCCGCAGGGAAGCCGUUAAGUCUGCCGCCUGGGGAGUACGGUCGCAAGACUGAAACUUAAAGGAAUUGGCGGGGGAGCA